rnacentral:misc_RNA from 1 species
GAAUUUAGACAAGGCGAUUGACCACAAAGCAUUGCAUGAUACUUUCUCGGUAUUUGGGAACAUUCUAUCUUGCAAGGUGGCUACAGAUUCCUCUGGCAAGUCAAAGGGCUAUGGCUUUGUACAGUUUGACAAUGAGGAAGCUGCCCAAAUGGCUAUAGAGAAGUUAAAUGGUAUGUUAUUGAAUGAUAAGCAGGUGUAUGUUGGA